UACGUAGGGUGCGAGCGUUAAUCGGAAUUACUGGGCGUAAAGCGUGCGCAGGCGGUUCGUUAAGACAGGUGUGAAAUCCCCGGGCUCAACCUGGGAAUGGCGCUUGUGACUGGCGGGCUGGAGUACGGCAGAGGGAGGUGGAAUUCCACGUGUAGCAGUGAAAUGCGUAGAGAUGUGGGGGAACACCGAUGGCGAAGGCAGCCUCCUGGGCCAGUACUGACGCUCAUGCACGAAAGCGUGGGGAGCAAACAGG
rnacentral:rRNA from 1 species